rnacentral:rRNA from 1 species
GACGAACGCUGGCGGCGUGCCUAAUACAUGCAAGUCGAGCGAACAGAUGAGAAGCUUGCUUCUCUGAUGUUAGCGGCGGACGGGUGAGUAACACGUGGGUAACCUACCUAUAAGACUGGGAUAACUCCGGGAAACCGGGGCUAAUACCGGAUAAUAUUUUGAACCGCAUGGUACAAUAGUGAAAGACGGUUUCGGCUGUCACUUAUAGAUGGACCCGCGCCGUAUUAGCUAGUUGGUAAGGUAACGGCUUACCAAGGCGACGAUACGUAGCCGACCUGAGAGGGUGAUCGGCCACACUGGAACUGAGACACGGUCCAGACUCCUACGGGAGGCAGCAGUAGGGAAUCUUCCGCAAUGGGCGAAAGCCUGACGGAGCAACGCCGCGUGAGUGAUGAAGGUCUUCGGAUCGUAAAACUCUGUUGUUAGGGAAGAACAAAUUUGUUAGUGACUGAACAAGUCUUGACGGUACCUAACCAGAAAGCCACGGCUAACUACGUGCCAGCCGCCGCAGUAA